GAUGAACGCUGGCGGCGUGCCUAACACAUGCAAGUCGAGCGAACAGACGAGGAGCUUUCUCCUCUGACGUUAGCGGCGGAAGGGUGAGUAACACGUGGAUAACCUACCUAUAAGACUGGGAUAACUUCGUGAAACCGGAGCUAAUACCGGAUAAUAUAUUGAACCGCAUGGUUCAAUAGUGAAAGACGGUUUUGCUGUCACUUAUAGAUGGAUCCGCGCCGCAUUAGCUAGUUGGUAAGGUAACGGCUUACCAAGGCAACGAUGCGUAGCCGACCUGAGAGGGUGAUCGGCCACACUGGAACUGAGACACGGUCCAGACUCCUACGGGAGGCAGCAGUAGGGAAUCUUCCGCAAUGGGCGAAAGCCUGACGGAGCAACGCCGCGUGAGUGAUGAAGGUCUUCGGAUCGUAAAACUCUGUUAUUAGGGAAGAACAAAUGUGUAAGUAACUAUGCACGUCUUGACGGUACCUAAUCAGAAAGCCACGGCUAACUACGUG
rnacentral:rRNA from 1 species